rnacentral:rRNA from 1 species
UACGGAGGAUCCAAGCGUUAUCCGGAAUUACUGGGCGUAAAGAGUUGCGUAGGUGGCAUAGUCAAGCGAAUAGUGAAAGCGUGUGGCUCAACCAUACAUCCAUUAUUUGAACUGCUAAGCUAGAGUAUGAGAGAGGUAGAUGGAAUUCCCAGUGUAGGAGUGAAAUCCGUAGAUAUUGGGAGGAACACCGAUGGCGUAGGCAGUCUACUGGCUCAUUACUGACACUAAGGCACGAAAGCGUGGGGAGCAAACAGG